rnacentral:rRNA from 1 species
UACGGAGGGGGCCAGCGUUGUUCGGAAUUAUUGGGCGUAAAGGGCGCGUAGGCGGCGAGGUAAGUCAGACGUGAAAUCCCCCGGCUCAACCGGGGAAUUGCGUCUGAAACUGCCCUGCUUGAGGCCGGGAGAGGAGAGUGGAAUUCCCAGUGUAGCGGUGAAAUGCGUAGAUAUUGGGAGGAACACCGGUGGCGAAGGCGGCUCUCUGGACCGGUUCUGACGCUGAGGCGCGAAAGCUAGGGGAGCAAACAGG